rnacentral:sRNA from 1 species
CUGACAGCCAGACCCAGGACAUCGUUUUCCAGAUGAGCAGGGUGAAGUGCUGGCAGGUCACUUUCCUUGGAACUCUGCUGGAUACGGAUGGGCCCCAGAGAACUCUCAACCAGAACUUAGAGCUCAGAUUUCAAUACAGUGAGGAUAGUUGCUGGCAGUGGUUUGUUAUUUACACCAAACAGGCUUUUUUGCUGAGUAGCUGCUUGAAAAAGAUGAUCUCAGAAAAGAUGGUAAAGCUAGCUGCUGAGAAUACAGAAAUGAACUGAACGUACCUUUUCCAGGGAAAAUAAAUUCACUGCCUCUUGGUGAUUGAACAAUUCAAAAUGUGCUAGAGAGUAGUAAAUCAAAGCAAUAAAAGGAUCAAGGAAACUCUUUUUAAAAGAGUAGUAUAAUAAAAUCCAACGUCUCAGGCAGGAUGGACCCUCUUAGGCUGAGAUUAUUGUAUGUAUUAAAAAGAAGAAAGAGAAAAGU